rnacentral:rRNA from 1 species
GACGAACGCUGGCGGCGUGCUUAACACAUGCAAGUCGAAUGCUGAAGCUUGGUGCUUGCACUGGGUGGAUGAGUGGCGAACGGGUGAGUAAUACGUGAGUAACCUGCCCUUGACUCUGGGAUAAGCCUGGGAAACUGGGUCUAAUACUGGAUAUGACAUGCCACUGCAUGGUGGUGUGUGGAAAGGGUUUUACUGGUUUUGGAUGGGCUCACGGCCUAUCAGCUUGUUGGUGGGGUAAUGGCCUACCAAGGCGACGACGGGUAGCCGGCCUGAGAGGGUGCCAGCCCCCAGAGGACUUGAGACGCGGCCAGGACCCAAGCGGGAGCAAGGGGUGGGAAUUUGACCCAAAGGGGCGGCGGCAUGAUGAAGGGACCCCGGGUGGGAGAUGCCGGCUUUGAGGUUAUAACCCUUUUGCAACGAGAAAGGGGCAAGAGGACGGUUACGUGAAAAAAAGGCCCGGCCAACCACGUU